UGGGGAAUAUUGGACAAUGGACCAAGAGUCUGAUCCAGCAAUUCUGUGUGCACGAUGAAGUUUUUCGGAAUGUAAAGUGCUUUCAGUUGGGAAGAAAAAAAUGACGGUACCAACAGAAGAAGUGACGGCUAAAUACGUGCCAGCAGCCGCGGUAAUACGUAUGUCACAAGCGUUAUCCGGAUUUAUUGGACGUAAAGCGCGUCUAGGUGGUUAUAUAAGUCUGAUGUGAAAAUGCAGGGCUCAACUCUGUAUUGCGUUGGAAACUGUGUAACUAGAGUACUGGAGAGGUAAGCGGAACUACAAGUGUAGAGGUGAAAUUCGUAGAUAUUUGUAGGAAUGCCGAUGGGGAAGCCAGCUUACUGGACAGAUACUGACGCUGAAGCGCGAAAGCGUGGGUAGCAAACAGGAUUAGAUACCCUGGUAGUCCACGCCGUAAACGAUGAUUACUAGGUGUUGGGGGUCGAACCUCAGCGCCCAAGCAAACGCGAUAAGUAAUCCGCCUGGGGAGUACGUACGCAAGUAUG
rnacentral:rRNA from 1 species